AAUGAACGCUGGCGGCAGGCCUAACACAUGCAAGUCGAACGCACCUUUCGGGGUGAGUGGCGGACGGGUGAGUAACGCGUGGGAACGUGCCCUUUGCUACGGAAUAGUCCCGGGAAACUGGGGGUAAUACCGUAUGUGCCCUUCGGGGGAAAGAUUUAUCGGCAAAGGAUCGGCCCGCGUUGGAUUAGGUAGUUGGUGGGGUAAUGGCCUACCAAGCCGACGAUCCAUAGCUGGUUUGAGAGGAUGAUCAGCCACACUGGGACUGAGACACGGCCCAGACUCCUACGGGAGGCAGCAGUGGGGAAUCUUAGACAAUGGGGGAAACCCUGAUUUAGCCAUGCCGCGUGAUCGAUGAAGGCCUUAGGGUUGUAAAGAUCUUUCAGAUGGGAAGAUAAUGACGGUACCAUCAGAAGAAGCCCCGGCUAACUCCGUG
rnacentral:rRNA from 1 species